AACGUGAACGAGAAUUCAACGUGAACGUGGAGCGUAAAAAAUAUUCUCCAUGUUUACAAGCUUAUGUUGAUAUCUAUUAUUCAUGAUUUAGUGUAAUAAGGAUCACUUAUGAAGAUAUGCUAGUUUCAACAUUUUGUAAUAGAUACAAAGCGUCUCAUUGGCGUCUAACCUCAAGGGCGAAUCCGCUAAGAAAGGUGCAAAUAAUGAAUAUGUACUGAAAUAGUGUACUUAUUUAUUAACAUAUUAAAAUUAGAAUUACAAGAGAUGUUCAAAAUGCCCUCCCCCACAUUCCAAGCAAUAUGCCAAGACGGUUUUUAAAUUCCUCUACAGCAUUUCUGAGGAAUUGACGAUUUAUUGAAUUACAUGCUAUAGCCCCAAAGAAAAAAGUCAUUUGGUGACAGAUUUGGUGAUCGUGCUGGCCAUGCUAGAUGGCCAUUACGUCCAAUCCAUCGUUCAGGAAAGUUUGGAUUCAGAAAAUUCCUUAUCAAAUUGGUAGAAUGGGCUGGUGUUCCAUCCAUUUGAAACCAAGGAGAAUUUAAAUUCAAAUUUUGAAUUUGUGGUAAAAUAUUUUUCAGUAUAUCGAGAAACUUUAUAGACGUUAAAUUGCCGUCAAUAAAAUAUGGACCAAUGAGGAAUUGUCCAACUAUCCCUAUCCAUACGUUAAUUUUGUUAUUAUACUGACUGUAUGUUAAAUUUUUUCGGUGGUUAUUUGUUCGUGACCAAUAUCUUAAAUAUACGUAGAUAUACCUAUUUUAGAAACAAAGAAUGUUUAUAAACUUGAUUUUAUGAUACUAACCGAAACUUUUGGGAGUUGACUGAUCUAUGUAAUGUAAAAGUAGCCUCAUCUGUGAAUAUUAUGUUGUGCAAGAGGUCAUUGUUAUUAUUAAUUAAAUUAAAUAAAUUUUCACAAAAUACAGUGCGUCUUUCUUUGUCUUCUUCAAAUAAAACUUGGUGAUUUCCAUAUCUAUACGAUU